AUUGCUGAGGGCUGAAAGGCGUUUUGCCUGCUACAUUGGCCAUGGAUUUGACUGCAUUGGUAGGUUGGUGGUAAAGGCAACAUUGGGCAAAACCACGAAGCUGUUGAAUUUGUAUGUGGCGAAUGAUGAGUUGGAUACAUUAUGUGUCCGUGAGUGGAUAUGCUCAAGAAAUAAAUAUCGAGAAUUUAUUUGCGAACCGAAUGAUAGAUUGGAAUGGUUGGCAUGUGCUUGAGCUUUUCAUCGGGAAAGGCGGUACUACGUGCGGCUCAGAGGCAGAAACUACAGUACGUGUAGGAGAAAUUCCAAGACGUAUUUGGGAAAACAGCUGGCAGAUUGGUCCCCCUGUAGGGGCGCAAAUGAAAAGAAUGGCGAAGAUAAAAGGAAUUGCACGCUCUUUUGGGUACUGGCCGAAGAUUGAUUCGGAUAUUGAGGUAAUGGCAAGGAAAUGCUACAGAUACGCAAGCGUGGCGAACCGACCGAGAAAGGUGACAGAACAUCAUUGGGAGUACCCGAAAGGGCCAUGGGAACGCGUGCAUAUGGAUUAUGCGGGGCCAAUCCAGGGCAUGAUGCUUUUGAUAGUUAUUGACGCGUAUAGUAAGUGGCUGGAGGUGAAGGUGAUCCAUCGACCAACAGCAAGGCUGAGCGAAGUGUUCAGACCGUAAAGAACGCUUUGAAGGCUAUGGGUACAACAAGGCAGACGCUGCAAGAAAACCUCAAUAAACUUCUCAGGCAAUACAAAAGUGCCCCUCACUCGAGGUCAGGUGUGUCACCGGCUCAGCUAUUUUUGGGGCUGCAAUUGAGAACGUGACUUGAUUUGGUGAAACCUGAAAGUAUCCCCGAAAGGAUAGAAUCUAGGCGGUAUUUAAAGAAAGAUAUGGAGGGUGGAAGAAGAUUCGAUGUGCGCGAUGAAGUAUACUUCUUAUUCUCUGGCCAACGAGGGACAAAAUGGCAGAAAGGCGUCGUUACGAAGAAGUUGGGACAGGUCCAUUACGAGUUGGGAAUUGAAAAUAGUCGGGUGAUAAGACAUAUGGAUCAGAUGCGAGGUACGGGCGUAAGGAAUGAAUGACAGUAAUGCUGGAGAAAUGAAUUGCUCAUGGCAUGGAGAAGAAAACGAGGAAAUGCUUCAAGUGGACAAGUACGACGAAAUCACAGCAGUUUGAGCAAUAGCAAUCAAGAACGUCAGACAACACAGCACAGUGCCAUAAAAAUGAGGAAUUGAGUGCUCAAACAUGUGAUAGCAACUUCUACGUUUUUAAAGCGGUGAUGAAUACCCAACCCCCUCUCUGCAGCUUAAGAGUCAACCGAUGAUGUCGUCCUCUGAGACAAUUCCACAGCAACGACCAACGCGGUCGCCUUCUCUCUGUAGAAGGAGAUAAAUGUUAUAUCUGAAUUCGUAUGAUUAGAAUACUCUUCUAUUAGUAAUCGUUUUUCGUUUAUUUAUCAUCAUUAGCUUGCUGUCUUCUUCUUAUUUAUUUUUCACCUACAUGAAAUCUGUCUUUUAACGAACAUGGUGAAAUACAUUAUUGUAAACGUUUAAGUCAAA